rnacentral:rRNA from 1 species
GGAAAGGCGCGCGAUACAGGGUGACAGCCCCGUACACAAAAAUGCACAUGCUGUGAGCUCGAUGAGUAGGGCGGGACACGUGGUAUCCUGUCUGAAUAUGGGGGGACCAUCCUCCAAGGCUAAAUACUCCUGACUGACCGAUAGUGAACCAGUACCGUGAGGGAAAGGCGAAAAGAACCCCGGCGAGGGGAGUGAAAAAGAACCUGAAACCGUGUACGUACAAGCAGUGGGAGCUCGCUUAGGCGUGUGACUGCGUACCUUUUGUAUAAUGGGUCAGCGACUUAUAUUCUGUAGCAAGGUUAACCGAAUAGGGGAGCCGAAGGGAAACCGAGUCUUAACUGGGCGUUAAGUUGCAGGGUAUAGACCCGAAACCCGGUGAUCUAGCCAUGGGCAGGUUGAAGGUUGGGUAACACUAACUGGAGGACCGAACCGACUAAUGUUGAAAAAUUAGCGGAUGACUUGUGGCUGGGGGUGAAAGGCCAAUCAAACCGGGAGAUAGCUGGUUCUCCCCGAAAGCUAUUUAGGUAGCGCCUCGUGAAUUCAUCUCCGGGGGUAGAGCACUGUUUCGGCAAGGGGGUCAUCCCGACUUACCAACCCGAUGCAAACUGCGAAUACCGGAGAAUGUUAUCACGGGAGACACACGGCGGGUGCUAACGUCCGUCGUGAAGAGGGAAACAACCCAGACCGCCAGCUAAGGUCCCAAAGUCAUGGUUAAGUGGGAAACGAUGUGGGAAGGCCCAGACAGCCAGGAUGUUGGCUUAGAAGCAGCCAUCAUUUAAAGAAAGCGUAAUAGCUCACUGGUCGAGUCGGCCUGCGCGGAAGAUGUAACGGGGCUAAACCAUGCACCGAAGCUGCGGCAGCGACGCUUAUGCGUUGUUGGGUAGGGGAGCGUUCUGUAAGCCUGCGAAGGUGUGCUGUGAGGCAUGCUGGAGGUAUCAGAAGUGCGAAUGCUGACAUAAGUAACGAUAAAGCGGGUGAAAAGCCCGCUCGCCGGAAGACCAAGGGUUCCUGUCCAACGUUAAUCGGGGCAGGGUGAGUCGACCCCUAAGGCGAGGCCGAAAGGCGUAGUCGAUGGGAAACAGGUUAAUAUUCCUGUACUUGGUGUUACUGCGAAGGGGGGACGGAGAAGGCUAUGUUGGCCGGGCGACGGUUGUCCCGGUUUAAGCGUGUAGGCUGGUUUUCCAGGCAAAUCCGGAAAAUCAAGGCUGAGGCGUGAUGACGAGGCACUACGGUGCUGAAGCAACAAAUGCCCUGCUUCCAGGAAAAGCCUCUAAGCAUCAGGUAACAUCAAAUCGUACCCCAAACCGACACAGGUGGUCAGGUAGAGAAUACCAAGGCGCUUGAGAGAACUCGGGUGAAGGAACUAGGCAAAAUGGUGCCGUAACUUCGGGAGAAGGCACGCUGAUAUGUAGGUGAAGUCCCUCGCGGAUGGAGCUGAAAUCAGUCGAAGAUACCAGCUGGCUGCAACUGUUUAUUAAAAACACAGCACUGUGCAAACACGAAAGUGGACGUAUACGGUGUGACGCCUGCCCGGUGCCGGAAGGUUAAUUGAUGGGGUUAGCGCAAGCGAAGCUCUUGAUCGAAGCCCCGGUAAACGGCGGCCGUAACUAUAACGGUCCUAAGGUAGCGAAAUUCCUUGUCGGGUAAGUUCCGACCUGCACGAAUGGCGUAAUGAUGGCCAGGCUGUCUCCACCCGAGACUCAGUGAAAUUGAACUCGCUGUGAAGAUGCAGUGUACCCGCGGCAAGACGGAAAGACCCCGUGAACCUUUACUAUAGCUUGACACUGAACAUUGAGCCUUGAUGUGUAGGAUAGGUGGGAGGCUUUGAAGUGUGGACGCCAGUCUGCAUGGAGCCGACCUUGAAAUACCACCCUUUAAUGUUUGAUGUUCUAACGUUGACCCGUAAUCCGGGUUGCGGACAGUGUCUGGUGGGUAGUUUGACUGGGGCGGUCUCCUCCUAAAGAGUAACGGAGGAGCACGAAGGUUGGCUAAUCCUGGUCGGACAUCAGGAGGUUAGUGCAAUGGCAUAAGCCAGCUUGACUGCGAGCGUGACGGCGCGAGCAGGUGCGAAAGCAGGUCAUAGUGAUCCGGUGGUUCUGAAUGGAAGGGCCAUCGCUCAACGGAUAAAAGGUACUCCGGGGAUAACAGGCUGAUACCGCCCAAGAGUUCAUAUCGACGGCGGUGUUUGGCACCUCGAUGUCGGCUCAUCACAUCCUGGGGCUGAAGUAGGUCCCAAGGGUAUGGCUGUUCGCCAUUUAAAGUGGUACGCGAGCUGGGUUUAGAACGUCGUGAGACAGUUCGGUCCCUAUCUGCCGUGGGCGCUGGAGAACUGAGGGGGGCUGCUCCUAGUACGAGAGGACCGGAGUGGACGCAUCACUGGUGUUCGGGUUGUCAUGCCAAUGGCACUGCCCGGUAGCUAAAUGCGGAAGAGAUAAGUGCUGAAAGCAUCUAAGCACGAAACUUGCCCCGAGAUGAGUUCUCCCUGACUCCUUGAGAGUCCUGAAGGAACGUUGAAG